rnacentral:tRNA from 1 species
AGGUUAAGUAAGCUAAAAAAGCUGUCAGGUUCAUACCCUGAAUAUGGUAAUACCUUAACUUU